CAUGUCUUUUUGUUAAUAAUUUAAAGUCUGACCUGCUCUAUGAUUAAGUAUUAAAUGGCCGCGAUAUUUUGAUCGUGCAAAGGUAGCAUAAUCAUUAGUUUCUUAAUUAGGAACUGGUAUGAAAGGUUGGACAAGAAAAAUACUGUCUCAAUUUAAUUUAAUUAGAAUUUUAUUUUUAAGUCAAAAAGCUUAAAUAAUUUUAAAAGACGAGAAGACCCUAUAGAGUUUUAUAUUAAUAAUUUUAAAAUAAAGUUAAGAAUUAAAUUUUUUUUAUUAAUAAUUAAUAUUUAGUUGGGGUGACUAAAAAAUUGAAUAAACUUUUAUUUUAUAAUAUUCAUUGAUUUAUGAUUAAUUGAUCCAUACUUUAUGAUUAUAAGAUUAAAUUACCUUAGGGAUAACAGCGUAAUUUUUUUUAAGAGUUCUUAUCGAAAAAAAAGUUUGCGACC
rnacentral:rRNA from 1 species